rnacentral:rRNA from 1 species
UGGGGAAUAUUGGGCAAUGGGCGCAAGCCUGACCCAGCUACGCCGCGUGGGCGAUGAAGGCCUUCGGGUUGUAAAGCUCUGUCAUGUGGAAAGAACAGUUCCGCGGUUAAUACCCGCGGAAUUUGACGGUACCACAGGACGAAGCACCGGCUAACUCCGUGCCAGCAGCCGCGGUAAUACGGAGGGUGCACGCGUUGUUCGGAAUUAUUGGGCGUAAAGGGCGCGUAGGCGGUUGUGAAAGUCAGAUGUGAAAGACUUCGGCUCAACUGAAGAACUGCAUCUGAAACUUCAUAACUCGAGUACAGGAGAGGGAAACGGAAUUCCCGGUGUAGAGGUGAAAUUCGUAGAUAUCGGGAGGAACACCAGUGGCGAAGGCGGUUUCCUGGCCUGAUACUGACGCUGAGGCGCGAAAGCGUGGGGAGCAAACA